CCCUUAGAUGUUCUGGGCCGCACGCGCGCUACACUGACAUGUUCAACAAGCCUCCUAGUUCGACAGGAUUUGGGAAAUCUUUGAACGCAUGUCGUGAUAGGGAUAGAUCAUUGCAAUUAUUGAUCUUGAACGAGGAAUUCCUAGUAAACGCGAGUCAUCAGCUCGCAUUGAUUACGUCCCUGCCCUUUGUACACACCGCCCGUCGCACCUACCGAUUGAAUGUUUCGGUGAAGAUUCCGGAUAGGACUUUUUUGAUUUAUUUCAAUUCUGUCUUAAAAGCUAUCUAAACCUCAACAUUUAGAGGAAGGUGAAGUCGUAACA
rnacentral:rRNA from 1 species